rnacentral:rRNA from 1 species
ACAGCGACUGUAUUCAGAUAGCCAUGCAUGUCUAAAGUAUAAGCAAUCUAUACGGUGAAACUGCGAAUGGCUCAUUAAAUCAGUUAUCGUUUAUUUGAUAGUACCUUGCUACAUGGAUACCUGUGGUAAUUCUAGAGCUAAUACAUGCUGAAAACCCCGACUUCGGAAGGGGUGUAUUUAUUAAAUAAAAAACCAAUGCCCUUCGGGAGCUGCUUGGUGAUUCAUUAAUAACUUUAACGAAAUCGCAUUGGACACAUUGACGUCCGGACGAAAUGGUUUUCAUAUCAAAACUUUUUCAUACCUCUUAAUACAUACAUUAUCAAAUGGGGUUAAGAAAAUAUAAAGAGAAGAUUAAACCAAUUAUGUUGUGUCUUUUCAGCGGUGUCAAAACGGCAGAGGAUUUUUAAAAGAAGCGUAGGAAAAAUAUAAAGCUUUUCGAAAAAAAGGGGAUGAUAUUCCGAUAAAAUUCAUAUGAAAAGUACCAAAAAAUGGCGAUUUUAUAGUAGAACGUAGGGAGGGAAACGGAACAAACAAAGAAAAAAAGUGAUUGGGAUUCGGGAUAUAGGAAGUAGU